ACGGGAGGCAGCAGUGGGGAAUAUUGGACAAUGGGCGGAAGCCUGAUCCAGCACGCCGCGUGAGGGAUGACGGCCUUCGGGUUGUAAACCACUUUCAGUGCAGACGAAGCGCAAGUGACGGUAUGCACAGAAGAAGGACCGGCCAACUACGUGCCAGCAGCCGCGGUAAUUACGUAGGGUCCGAGCGUGUCCGGAAUUAAUUGGGCGUAAUGGGCUCGUAGGCGGUU
rnacentral:rRNA from 1 species